CUAGCGACUCAGAGUUUGAUCCUGGCUCAGGACGAACGCUGGCGGCGUGCCUAACACAUGCAAGUCGAACGGAGUAAUUUCUUCGGAGAUUACUUAGUGGCGAACGGGUGAGUAACGCGUGAGAAACCUGCCUUUCAGUGGGGGACAACAGUUGGAAACGACUGCUAAUACCGCAUAAUGUUAUUUGGGGGCAUCCCCGAAUAACCAAAGCUUUAUGUGCUGAAAGAUGGUCUCGCGUCUGAUUAGCUAGAUGGCGGGGUAACGGCCCACCAUGGCGACGAUCAGUAGCCGGUCUGAGAGGAUGAACGGCCACAUUGGGACUGAAAUACGGCCCAG
rnacentral:rRNA from 1 species